rnacentral:rRNA from 1 species
UUGGUCAUUUAGAGGAAGUAAAAGUCGUAACAAGGUCUCCGUUGGUGAACCAGCGGAGGGAUCAUUACCGAGUUUACAACUCCCAAACCCCUGUGAACAUACCAAUUGUUGCCUCGGCGGAUCAGCCCGCUCCCGGUAAAACGGGACGGCCCGCCCGAGGACCCCUAAACUCUGUUUUUAGUGGAACUUCUGAGUAAAACAAACAAAUAAAUCAAAACUUUCGACAACGGAUCUCUUGGUUCUGGCAUCGAUGAAGAACGCAGCAAAAUGCGAUAAGUAAUGUGAAUUGCAGAAUUCAGUGAAUCAUCGAAUCUUUGAACGCACAUUGCGCCCGCCAGUAUUCUGGCGGGCAUGCCUGUUCGAGCGUCAUUUCAACCCUCAAGCUCAGCUUUGUGUUGGGACUCGCGGUAACCCGCGUUCCCCAAAUCGAUUGGCGGUCACGUCGAGCUUCCAUAGCGUAGUAAUCAUACACCUCGUUACUGGUAAUCGUCGCGGCCACGCCGUAAAACCCCAACUUCUGAAUGUUGACCUCGGAUCAGGUAGGAAUACCCGCUGAACUUAAGCAUAUCAAUAAG